rnacentral:rRNA from 1 species
ACGGAGGGUGCGAGCGUUGUCCGGAAUCACUGGGCGUAAAGGGCGCGUAGGCGGCUUCUUAAGCGUGCGGUGAAAGCCCGGGGCUCAACCCCGGGUCGGCCGUGCGAACUGGGGGGCUGGAGCACUGUAGAGGCAGAUGGAAUUCCGGGUGUAGCGGUGGAAUGCGUAGAGAUCCGGAAGAACACCAGUGGCGAAGGCGACUACCUGGCCUGUUCUUGACGCUGAGGUGCGAAAGCGUGGGGAGCGAACAGGA